rnacentral:rRNA from 1 species
GACGAACCGAGCGAACGUUGUUCGGAAUCACUGGGCUUAAAGGGCGCGUAGGCGGGUGCUCAAGUCCGUGGUGAAAUCCUCCGGCUCAACCGGAGAACUGCCUCGGAUACUGGGCGUCUCGAGUGUGGUAGGGGUAUGCGGAACUAUCGGUGGAGCGGUGAAAUGCGUUGAUAUCGAUAGGAACUCCGGUGGCGAAGGCGGCAUACUGGACCACCACUGACGCUGAUGCGCGAAACCAGGGGAGCGAACGGG